rnacentral:misc_RNA from 1 species
AGGAGGAGGAGGGAGUUCGCAACAAGGGAGAGGAAGCUGUGUCCGGAUCGCUCGAACAGGAACCAGAACGCGGUGACGCCGGCAGCGGUGAAUGCAGCGGCGUUCCGCCGCCGCCACAGGAGCACGUCGGCCACUGCGCCGCCUCCUAGGGCACGGUGGACGGAGCGACGGGAGGGAAAAGGGGCGGUGGAGGAGGGCGGCUCCGGCGAGGCGGCGGAGCGAUCCAGAUCUUCGGCGGA